UAAAAUGCGUCUCCCAAGCUUUCCCAUCUCAAAGGCUCGAAACCCCCACGCCCGAAUAAUCUCCGAGCUCCCCAUUUCCUCCUAGGGUUCGUGCUCCUCCACUCGCGCAAUCCCUAAGCUCUCUCUGCCGCGAGCUCUCUGUCGGCUCCCAUGGCGGCGGUAGCGACGGCGGCCCCUCGGGGCCGGCAGCCCCAGGGUCGGGGGGUCGACGACGAGAACCUGGUUUUCGAGACGAGCCCCGGGGUGGAGGCCAUCACGAGCUUCGACCAGAUGGGGAUCCGCGACGACCUCCUCCGAGGGAUCUACGCCUACGGCUUCGAGAAGCCCUCCGCCAUCCAGCAGCGGGCCGUGAUUCCCAUUAUCCAGGGCCGCGACGUCAUCGCCCAGGCCCAAUCUGGUACCGGAAAGACCUCCAUGAUCGCCCUCUCCGUCUGCCAGAUGGUAGACACCACCUCGAGGGAAGUUCAGGUGUUGAUCCUUUCACCCACGAGAGAACUUGCUGCCCAGACUGAGAAAGUGAUAUUGGCUAUUGGUGACUACAUAAAUGUACAAGCCCAUGCAUGCAUUGGCGGGAAAAGCAUAGGCGAGGAUAUUAGAAAACUAGAGUUUGGAGUUCACGUGGUUUCAGGGACACCGGGCAGAGUCUGUGAUAUGAUCAAGAGAAGGACUUUACGCACAAGAGCCAUCAAGCUCCUGGUCCUCGAUGAAUCUGAUGAGAUGUUGAGCAGAGGUUUCAAGGACCAAAUAUAUGACAUAUACCGAUAUCUUCCUCCAGAACUUCAGGUCGUUCUGAUUUCUGCAACACUUCCUCAUGAAAUAUUGGAGAUGACCAGCAAAUUUAUGACUGAUCCCGUUAGAAUACUUGUCAAGCGUGAUGAGUUGACAUUGGAGGGGAUCAAACAAUUCUUCGUUGCUGUCGAGAGAGAGGAAUGGAAGUUUGAUACAUUGUGUGAUCUAUAUGACACCCUCACUAUUACCCAAGCUGUUAUUUUCUGUAACACGAAAAGAAAGGUUGAUUGGUUGACUGAAAAAAUGCGCAGCAAUAACUUCACGGUAUCUUGUAUGCAUGGUGACAUGCCUCAGAAGGAGAGGGAUGCGAUCAUGGCAGAGUUCAGGUCAGGCGCAACCCGUGUGUUGAUUACAACAGAUGUAUGGGCUCGCGGGCUUGAUGUUCAGCAGGUUUCUCUAGUGAUAAAUUAUGACCUUCCCAACAAUCGAGAACUUUACAUACAUCGGAUUGGUCGCUCCGGUCGUUUUGGUCGUAAGGGUGUGGCAAUAAACUUUGUGCGCAAGGAUGACAUCAGGAUAUUAAGAGAUAUUGAACAAUAUUAUAGUACUCAGAUUGAUGAAAUGCCAAUGAAUGUGGCCGAUCUUAUUUGAAAACCAGAUGAUACGAAGCUUACAAGCAGGUACUGAAGGGAUACACUGGGGAGCAGUCUCUCUGCGGAUGUUCUUUUCUGUGUGUUCUGGUGCUGGUCAGGUUUGCUAUUUUUCUGCAAACGAAGACUUGCUGGUUGCUGGUCACUGGGAGCAAGCGGAUCAUGAUUGGCUUUGCUUUUGAAAGUAAUGUCAAGAUGUUAAGAUGUGCCUGUUUUGAUGGACGGCACAUAUAAAUACAAGCUGAUGACUUCUUCUUUAUUACAGACUCGAUUUGAGUGGAUGUUUUUAUUGUAGCGACAAUGAUGUGCUACCAUCAAACAUUCGAGUCUUUGAUAGGGUCUGAAUUGAAAUAGCUUUCGCUUUUAAUGGUCGGGCUGCACAAUUUGCAAAAUACUGUGAGGGAUUCGUACAGGAAAGAGGUCAGCUACGAGGUUUAAGCUAUAAUAUCUGCUUCUGUUGGAACUUGUAAACCGUCAAAACAGCAGUUUAUCUGCCUCCCUAUUCAUGGGGAGUUGUUCAGGGCUUUGAUGUUCACGGUAGGAGUGCUGAAGCUGGUAAUUGGACAUCAAUCAGGCUGAUGGGUAUCAGGAAGAAGAUUCGAAGUCAGAUGCCCUCUGCAUUCUCUGUUAUAUCAUCUUCAUGGAUCUCAAUAAAAGUCACUUCAUGUUUACUCAGAUUCUGUCUAUAAAACCACUGAGAGAGGAGUCCUUCAAAUAAACAAAGUCAUAGGUGGAAAUCUCUGCAUAGAGGCGACAGAUUCUCAUCCCUGAUAUAUAGCAUUUUCUCCUUUCAUUUUUUUUUC